rnacentral:rRNA from 1 species
AACGAACGCUGGCGGCAUGCCUAACACAUGCAAGUCGAACGAGACCUUCGUGUCUAGUGGCGCACGGGGGGGUAACGCGGGGGAACUGGCCCUAGGUUUCGGAAAACUCCCCUGAAGGGGGGGUUAAUGCCGGAUAAUUUUUUGGGACAAAGGAUUUAUCGCCUUGGGAUGGGCCGGGGUUGGUUUAGCUGGUUGGUAGGGUAAACGCAGACGAAGGCGACGUUCCUUAGCUGGUCUGAGAGGAUGAUCGGCCACACUGGGACUACGACACGGCCCAGACUCCUACGGGAGGCAGCAGUGGGGAAUAUUGGACAAUGGGCGAAAGCCUGAUCCAGCAAUGCCGCGUGAGUGAUGAAGGCCUUAGGGUUGUACAGCUCUUUUACCCGGGAUGAUAAUGACAGUACCGGGAGAAUAAGCUCCGGCUAACUCCGUG